rnacentral:rRNA from 1 species
GACAGAGGUGCCGAGCGUUAGGCGGAAUCACUGGGCUUAAAGCGUGUGUAGGCGGAAGCGUAAGUGCCUUGUGAAAUCCCACGGCUCAACCGUGGAACUGCUGGGCAUACUGCGUUUCCUGAGCCAAUCAGGGGUCGUCGGAACAAACGGUGGAGCGGUGAAAUGCGUAGAUAUCGUUUGGAACGCCAAUGGUGAAAACAGGUAGCUGGGGCUGUGCUGACGCUGAGACACGAAAGCCAGGGGAGCGAACGGG